rnacentral:sRNA from 1 species
GUCAACGACCCACGACUAGAAGUCGGGGGCUUGCAGGAGCAAUUCUGCAAGCUCCAAGUUGACCAGACUCAGUCUUUUUGAAAGGCUACGUUACCGUAGAAAGCUAUACUAAAAACGGGUACAAAGUAACAUUUUCAUGAAGAUGUCUUACUGGAGCGUCAAAGCUU